rnacentral:rRNA from 1 species
UAGGGAAUCUUCGGCAAUGGACGAAAGUCUGACCGAGCAACGCCGCGUGAGUGAAGAAGGUUUUCGGAUCGUAAAACUCUGUUGUUAGAGAAGAACAAGGACGUUAGUAACUGAACGUCCCCUGACGGUAUCUAACCAGAAAGCCACGGCUAACUACGUGCCAGCAGCCGCGGUAAUACGUAGGUGGCAAGCGUUGUCCGGAUUUAUUGGGCGUAAAGCGAGCGCAGGCGGUUUCUUAAGUCUGAUGUGAAAGCCCCCGGCUCAACCGGGGAGGGUCAUUGGAAACUGGGAGACUGGAGUGCAGAAGAGGAGAGUGGAAGUCCAUGUGUAGCGGUGAAAUGCGUAGAUAUAUGGAGGAACACCAGUGGCGAAGGCGGCUCUCUGGUCUGUAACUGACGCUGAGGCACGAAAGCGUGGGGAGCAAACAGG